rnacentral:rRNA from 1 species
GACAGAGGGUGCAAACGUUGUUCGGAAUUACUGGGCGUAAAGCGCGUGUAGGCGGCCGGGAAAGUCGGAUGUGAAAGCCCGUGGCUCAACCACGGAAGCGCACCCGAAACUGCCCAGCUAGAGUCUCGGAGAGGAAGGCGGAAUGCUCGGUGUAGAGGUGAAAUUCGUAGAUAUCGAGCGGAACACCAGUGGCGAAGGCGGCCUUCUGGACGAAGACUGACGCUGAGACGCGAAAGCGUGGGGAGCAAACAGG